CCACAAUUUCUCCAUAUGGAUUCCAACGAGAUAUUUCGCUUACAGAAGAUUAUUAAACAUGUAAACAAAGUAUACGGGUUUUCCUUCGCUCCAAAUCCAGUGUGCAGUAUAACGGCAGGGCAACUGUGUUAGUAUUUACUAUGCAGUUCAUUUUCGAUAGGAAAGAACUACUAACAGCGUUAUUUGAAUCUUCAGUCAUCAACACUCUCAUAUUGGAAAUGACCUAGAUGAAAACAUCGAUAAGGUUUUCUGAAGAAACUCACAUCAGGUGACACGCUAUGCGUUCCAUACUUGUCAUCCCAGUACAUUGUGCUAAUCCGAUACAACUGCUGGAUGCUGAGGACCUGUAAAUAGUGCAAUGAGGUUGGGACUCGUUCAGUGUUUUCUUAGGUUUCUGGUGUAUGACCUGAACGAAGGGCAGAAAAGAUGAGAUGCUAUAUGUGCUAUCUUAGCAUCAGAACAAGUGCUACGCAGGUCAGAAAGAUACCAGAAAUCCAAUCGCCUGUCUGAUAUGCUUCAGCUCAUCCCACGCUGAACCUGCAUACUGCAUCAUUUUUGGGAGUGGGAAGGGGGCAGGGAAAAUGGGAGUAAGCUGCUGUUUGAAAAGCAAAGCUGGGUACUUGGCUUCGACUUGUCGUAAUGUGUCUACACCACCGCUUAUGCUACCAUUGAUUAAGGAGAGAUUAACUCCUGUUGGGGUUCCACGGAAACUCUGAAACAACAAGGAUAAUUAUCUGGAGCGUGAAAGCUUCUCUACAGGUAUACAAGUGAACGAGGAAAUAAUGACACCUUAAAACGGGAAGCUAUUGAAGAAAACUUCGACGACUUAGAUGUCUCUUCUGGAAGAGGAGGAAAAAGACCUGCUACGAAAGGACAUUUGGAAGCACUCAACAAAUCUUGAUGUUCAGGAACCACGUAAUCUUUAUUUUUAUCUAAAAACUGGUCCGACUGGUAUAAGACCUGCCCAUUUUAUGAGUGUAAAAAGCAAUAAGCCAAAAUGUGUCAUUUCUUAAGCAUUUUACGUGAUGAUAAUUAGUCAUACCUCCCCAGCAUAAUGAGCAAUGGUGAAAUCUGUUCGAGACAAUUUUGGCUUUAUAAAACGCUUGUGAGUCUUGAAUGAUUGAUAAA